AACAGCUAAUCUGAUUUGGUGGGCGGGAAGAUUGGGGGCACCUUACUUAGUCCUGUCGCUGGAUGUGGAGAAGGCAUUCAACUACAUACAGUGGCCACAAUUCUUUGGUCUGUUGCAACAUUGGGGCUUCCCAGAUGCUUUGACAUCGUAAAGGCCCUAUAUGUGAAUUUCCAGGCUUGAGUUGUAAUACCAGUGUGACAGCCCCCUUCUUUUCCUGUCCAUAAUGGGACUAGACAAGGGUGUCCACUUUUACUCUUACCAUUUGCCUACUCAUUGGAGCCCCUUCUCCACUUAAUCAGAAACCAUAAAUGAUAUAAAGGGUAUCGUGGUGGCAAGCAAAUCCUACACUGAUAAUGUUCCUUUGAUCCUUGCAGACCCAAUGCUUAUGCUGGUAAUGUUUUAUUUUGACCCUUGCAGACCUGAUGGUUA